rnacentral:rRNA from 1 species
CAGUAGCCACGGGAAAACGGAGGGUGCAAGCGUUAAUCGGAAUUACUGGGCGUAAAGGGUGCGUAGGCGGUUGUUUAAGUCUGUCGUGAAAGCCCUGGGCUCAACCUGGGAAUUGCGAUGGAUACUGGGCGACUAGAGUGCGGUAGAGGAUAGUGGAAUUUCCGGUGUAGCAGUGAAAUGCGUAGAGAUCGGAAGGAACAUCUGUGGCGAAGGCGACUAUCUGGGCCAACACUGACACUGAGACACGAAAGCGUGGGGAGCAAACAGGAUUAGAUACCCCUGUAGUCCCUGUCUCUUAUAU